rnacentral:misc_RNA from 1 species
GAUGAAGAACGCAGCGAAAUGCGAUACGUAAUGUGAAUUGCAGAAUUCAGUGAAUCAUCGAGUCUUUGAACGCACAUUGCGCCCUCUGGUAUUCCGGAGGGCAUGCCUGUCCGAGCGUCAUUGCUGCCCUCAAGCACGGCUUGUGUGUUGGGCCCCGCCCCCCGAUCCCGGGGGGCGGGCCCGAAAGGCAGCGGCGGCACCGCGUCCGGUCCUCGAGCGUAUGGGGCUUUGUCACCCGCUCUGUAGGCCCGGCCGGCGCUUGCCGAUCAACCAAACUUUUUUCCAGGUUGACCUCGGAUCAGGUAGGGAUACCCGCUGAACUUAAGCAUAUCAAUAAGCGGAGG